AGAGAUUGAUCCUGGCUCACGAUAAACGCUGGCGGCAUGCCUAAUACAUGCAAGUCGAACGGACUAGUUUACUAGUCAGUGGCGAGACGGGUGAGUAACACGUAAGGAACCAACCCUUGACACGAGGAUAACUCCGGGAAACUGGAGCUAAUACUGGAUAGGAUAUAGAUACGGAAGUAUUUAUAUUUAAAGGCGCUUUCGGGCGGUGGAUGAAGGAUGGCCUUGCGUGCAUUAUAUAGCUGGUGAGGGCAACGGCCCACCGAGCCCACGAUGCGUACCUGAGCUGAGAGGCUGAACAGCCCCACUGGGACUGAGACAGGGACCAGACUCCUACGGGAGGCAGCAGUAGGGAAUUUUCGACAAUGGGGGGAACCCUGAUCGGAAGCAAUGCCGCGUGAAUGAAGAAGGUCUUCGGAUUGUAAAGUUCUUUUAUUGGAGAAGAACGGUACCUAUAGGAAAUGAUAGGUAAGUGACGGUAUCCAUUGAAUAAGCCCCGGCUAACUACGUGCCAGCAGCCGCGGUAAUACGUAGGGGGCGAGCGUUAUCCGGAAUUAUUGGGGUAAAGAGUGCGUAAGGCGGUUUGUUAAGUCACUUGUAAAAGAUCUCAGCCCAUUUGAGUAGGGCGAGUGAACCUGGCAGUCUUGAAUACGGUAGAGGUAAGUGGAAUUCCAUGUGUAGCGGUGGAACGCGUAGAUAUAUGGAGGAACACCAAUGGCGACGGCAACUUACUGGACCGGAAUUGACGCUGAGGCACGAAAGCGUGGGGAGCAAACAGGAUUAGAUACCCUGGUAGUC
rnacentral:rRNA from 1 species